rnacentral:rRNA from 1 species
UGAGGAAUAUUGGUCAAUGGACGAGAGUCUGAACCAGCCAAAUCGCGUGAAGGAAGACUGCCCUACGGGUUGUAAACCGCUUUUGUCAGGGAAGAAACGAGCUUCUCUAAUACAGAGACUUAAUGACGGUACCUGAAGAAUAAGCACCGGUUAACUACGUGCCAGCAGCCGCGGUAAUACGUAGGGUGCAAGCGCUAAUCGGAAUUACUGGGCGUAAAGCGUGCGCAGGCGGUCUUGUAAGACAGUUGUGAAAGCCCCGGGCUUAACCUGGGAACUGCAAUUGUGACUGCAGGGCUAGAGUGUGUCAGAGGGGGGUGGAAUUCCACGUGUAGCAGUGAAAUGCGUAGAGAUGAGGAGGAACACCGAUGGCGAAGGCAGCCCCCUGGGAUAACACUGACGCUCAUGCACGAAAGCGUGGGGAGCAAACA